CGUGAAGAUGCUUCCUCACUUGAUGUGAUUACCGGUACAUUUUCCCUCUAUAAUGUUAAUGUUAUUGCUUUGAUUGAUCCCGGUUCUACUCAUUCAUAUGUGUGCAUGAAAUAGGUGUCUAGUAUGAAUAUACCUAUUGAGAACACAGAAUUUAUGAUUAGAGUGUCGAAUCCGUUAGGUAAAUGUGUGACUAUCGAUAAAGUAUGUAAGAAAUGUCCUUUAAUGAUUCGGGAUCAUUACUUUCCGGCCAACUUGAUGUUGUUGCCGUUUGAUGAGUUUGAUGUUAUUUUGGGUAUGGAUUGGUUGACAUUGCAUGAUGCUAAAAUAAAUUGCAAAGAAAAGAUUAUAGAAUUAAAGUGUGGAAAUGGUGAAACUCUGCGGGUUGAAUCAGAUAAAUCAGAGGCAUUGCCUAGUGUGGUUUCUUCAAUGUCGGCUCAAAGAUAUCUGAGAAAGGGUUAUGAAGCUUAUUUGGCGUAUGUAAUUAAUACAAAAGAAGUUGAAAAGAAAGUUGAAUCAGUGCCGGUUGUGUGUGAAUUUGCGGACGUAUUUCCAGAAGAAUUGCCGGGUUUGCCUCCAGUCAGGAAAGUAGAAUUUGGUAUUGAUUUGAUACCGGGAACAGCUCCGAUUUCGAUUGCUCCGUAUAGAAUGGCACCAGCAGAGUUGAAUGAACUAAAGUCGCAGUUGCAAGAGUUGACUGAUAAAGGUUUUCUGAGACCGAGUUUUUCACCUUGGGGUGCUCCCAUGUUAUUUGUGAAAAAGAAGGAUGGUUUUAUGAGGUUGUGUGUUGAUUAUUGGCAGUUAAACAAGGUGACAAUCAAAAACAAGUAUCCGUUGCCAAGAAUUGAUGAUUUGUUUGAUCAACUAAAAGGAGCGACAUGGUUUUCAAAGAUUGACUUGAGAUCUGGGUAUUACCAAUUGCGGGUAAAAGAGUCGGAUGUGCCUAAAACUGCUUUUAGAACAAGGUAUGGUCAUUAUGAAUUUUUAGUUAUGCCAUUCGGAUUGACAAAUGCUCCUGCUGUGUUUAUGGAUUUAAUGAAUCGCAUAUUUCGGCCAUACUUGGACAGAUUUGUUGUGGUGUUUAUAGAUGAUAUUUUAAUUUAUUCAAAAGAUGAGACAGAGCAUGCUGAGCAUUUGAGGAUAGUUUUGCAAACUUUGAGAGAUAAGCAGAUGUAUGCUAAGUUUAGUAAAAGUGAAUUUUGGCUCCGGGAAGUUGGAUUUUUGGGUUAUAUUGUUUCAGGUGAUGGUAUACGGGUUGAUCCUAGUAAAAUUUCAGCCAUUGUUGAUUGGAAACCACCGAAAAAUGUAACUGAAGUUAGAAGUUUCUUGGGGCUAGCUGGGUAUUAUCGGCGGUUUGUAAAUGGAUUUUCUAUAAUUGCGGCUCCUAUAAGUAGAUUACUCCGAAAGGAUGUUAAAUUUGAAUGGACGGAAGAAUGUCAACAGAGUUUUGAAGAAUUGAAAAAGUUAUUAACAGAGGCACCAGUGUUAGUACAGCCCGAAUCAGGUAAAGAAUUUGUGGUGUAUAGUGAUGCUUCUCUAAAUGGUUUGGGGUGUGUGCUCAUGCAGGAAGGAAAAGUGGUGGCAUAUGCUUCGAGGCAGUUAAAACCUCAUGAGAGGAAUUAUCCUACUCACGAUUUGGAAUUGGCUGCAGUGGUGUUGCUUUGAAAAUUUGGCGACAUUAUUUGUAUGGUGAAAAAUGUCGGGUAUAUACCGACCACAAAAGUCUUAAGUACUUGAUGUCACCAAAAGACUUGAAUUUGAGACAACGAAGAUGGUUGGAGUUGUUGAAAGAUUACGAGCUUGUUAUUGAUUAUCAUCAGGGAAAAGCGAAUGUGGUUGCUGAUGCUUUGAACAGAAAGUUGUUGUUUGCUUUGAGAGUUAUGAACACUCAGUUGAAAGUGUCAGAUGAUGGUUCGAUUCUAGCAGAGUUAAGAGCAAAACCGAUGUUUUUGCAAGAGAUUUCUGAAGCUCAGAAAGAUGAUCAAGAUUUGCAAGCCAAGAGAAAACAGUGCGAAGUUGAUACAGAGUCAGAUUUCAAAAUUGGUUCUGAUGGGUGCUUAAUGUUUAAAGAUCGGAUUUGUGUACCGAAGAAUGAGGAAUUGAUUCAAAAGAUCCUACAGGAAACACAUAGUGGUUAUUUCUCGAUUCAUCCGGGUAGUACGAAAAUGUAUAAUGACUUGAAGAAAAUGUAUUGGUGGAAUGGAAUGAAAAGAGAUAUAUCAGAGUUUGUGUCCAAAUGCUUAAUUUGUCAACAGGUGAAAGCUGAACACCAAGUGCCUUCGGGAUUACUUCAGCCUAUUAUGGUUCAUGAAUGGAAAUGGGAUCGGAUUACUACGGAUUUUGUUUCAGGAUUGCCAUUGACUCCAGGAAAGAAAGAUGCCAUCUGGGCAAUAGUUGACAGAUUAACUAAGUCGGCUCAUUUUAUCCCGGUAUGUAUGGAUUAUUCUCUUAACAAGCUGGCUGAACUAUAUAUUAGAGAAAUUGUUAGAUUACACGGAAUACCAUUGUCGAUUAUUUCAGAUAGAGAUCCAAGGUUUACCUCGCGGUUUUGGCAAAAGUUGCAAGACGCGUUAGGUACAAAGAUAAAUUUCAGUACUGCUUUUCAUCCACAAACUGAUGGACAAUCAAAGAGAGUAAUUCAGAUUCUUGAAGACAUGCUCAGAUGUUGUGUAUUGGAAUUUCAAGGAAGUUGGGAAAGAUAUUUGCCGUUGGUAGAAUUUGCUUACAACAAUAGUUAUCAGACGAACUUGAAAAUGGCACCUUAUGAAGCAUUGUAUGGUCGUAAGUGUCGAACGCCUUUGUAUUGGACUGAACUCAAGGAAAAUCAGAUUUAUGGAGUUGAUCUAAUAAAAGAAACUGAAGAAAAAGUGAAGGUAAUUCGAGAUUGUUUGAAAGCUGCUUCAGAUAGAAAGAAAUCUUAUGCAGAUUUAAAACGAAAGGACAUUGAAUUUCAAGUUGGUGAUAAAGUAUUUUUAAAGGUGUCUCCGUGGAAGAAAGUCCUUAGAUUUGGACGGAAGGGCAAAUUAAGUCCGCGUUUUAUUGGACCGUAUGAAAUAAUUGAAAAAGUUGGACCGGUAGCAUAUCGGCUAGCGUUACCACCCGAAUUAGAGAAGAUUCAUGAUGUGUUUCACGUAUCUAUGUUACGCCGGUAUCGUUCGGAUCCUUCACAUAUAAUUUCACCGACAGAAAUUGAACUGCGACCGGAUAUGACUUAUGAAGAAGAACCGAUUAAGAUUUUAGCUCGAGAAGUCAAACAACUAAGAAAUAAAAGUGUUGCACUUGUGAAAGUGUUGUGGCAAAAGCAUGGGGUAGAAGAAUGCCUAAAGUGCUUAAAUUGAAAGUAGGGACUAAAUCGAAUAAGUUGUAAAACUUGCAUUCUAGAAGUUUUUAGUAUGAAAUUGUUUUGGAAUAUUAAUGAGGAGGUCUUAAAUAACAAUUUGACCAAUUUUAAGUUCAUGGACAAAAUUAGGGCAUGGAAGGAAUUUUUGGAAAGUUUAGUAGUAAGGGUAUUUUGGUCAUUUAGUUAUUAAAAUGAAUUAAAAACAAAAUUAAAAGCCAAUUUUUGUCCAUCUUCUUCAUUAGGCCGAAAUUUUAAGGGUUCUCCAUAGCUAGGGUUUGUUUCAAGCUUCCAAGCUCCAUAGUAAGUGAUUCCAAGCCCCGUUUUUAAUGAUUUUUACGUUUUUGAGAUCGCGGUAGCUCGAUUAAGCUUAUGCUAACAAUAAUUCAACUUAGGGUUCAUAUUUGGAAAAAUACCCAUAGGUGAAAUUUGUGUAUUUUGAUGUUUUAUGAUAGAAUAUGGGGUUUUAAAUUAUGUUAGACAACUUGUGCUACUCGGUUUUGAGUGAAAACGAGUAAAAGGGCUUAAUCAGUAAAAAUACCUAAUAGUCAUAAGUACAUGUUAGAGUGAGAAUUUGAUGUUGCCAUAGAAGAGAAAAGUGAUCAGCAUGUUGUAAAACAUAAGAAUAAGGAAUAAAGUUUAAUACGGAGCCUAGGGGCAAAAAUGUAAAUAUGCAAAAGUUUAGGGGCAAAAUUGUAAUUUUGCCAAAAUUUGAGUUAAGGGUUAAUUUGAUAAUUUGAGUAUUAAAUGAGCUAAAUGUGUUAUUUUAGAUCAAGAAAGACGUGGAAUCGACCUCAAUCGAGGAAAAAAAAGAUUGUGGACUAAAUUGCAAAAUCCUUGUAUUUUGGUACCAAGUUUUGGACAAGCCAGCUCAGGAGUCGGGAUAGGUCGAAGGCUCAGUCACACUAUCCGGAAGACUUUUGGUAAAUGGCUUGUAAAUUUAAGUAUGGCAUGUAUAGCAAUAUACCUAUUUUGUGUAAAUGAUCUUAUGGUAUGGUUGUGGAAUGGUUGAGGAAAUGCUUG
rnacentral:lncRNA from 1 species